AUUGAACGCUGGCGGCAUGCUUUACACAUGCCAGUCGAACGGUAACAGGCCUUCGGGUGCUGACGAGUGGCGCACGGGUGAGUAAUGCAUCGGAACGUGCCCAGAGGUGGGGGAUAACGCAGCGAAAGCUGUGCUAAUACCGCAUGUGAUCUGAGGAUGAAAGCGGGGGACCAGGCAGCAAUGUUUGGCCUCGCGCCUUUGGAGCGGCCGAUGUCAGAUUAGGUAGUUGGUGGGGUAAAGGCCUACCAAGCCGACGAUCUGUAGCUGGUCUGAGAGGACGACCAGCCACACUGGGACUGAGACACGGCCCAGACUCCUACGGGAGGCAGCAGUGGGGAAUUUUGGACAAUGGGCGCAAGCCUGAUCCAGCAAUGCCGCGUGCGGGAAGAAGGCCUUCGGGUUGUAAACCGCUUUUGUACGGAACGAAAAGGCUCUGGCUAAUACCUGGGGCUGAUGACGGUACCGUAAGAAUAAGCACCGGCUAACUACGUG
rnacentral:rRNA from 1 species